UUUCAGUAAAAAUAUCCCAGCCCUUCCAGAAAAGAGGCAGGAAAUCUACUGCUGAAAUCUGGAGAUGGGCAGCAUAGCCAAGCAUGAGUGAAGAUCUGAGCACAGGGACGUGGUUUAGUGUGGACUCAGCAGUGAAGCUCUACCUUAAAGCUCUUCUCUCCUCUCUGGACUUUACCUAUUAUCCAAGCUGGGGUUUUUCAUGCAGAAUGAUCAGGAACUCUUUACACAUGGAAGAAGCAGGAACACUUUGGUGCUUUAUGAGUGCCUGUUGCCUGUUAAGGACCCAGCUCGUGCAGCAGAAUAGAGUAUGAACUGUGAUUUCUUGGAGCUAACACAGCAAAAAUUUCAGGCUCAA